rnacentral:rRNA from 1 species
UUGUUAGUCAUAUGCUUGUCUCAAAGAUUAAGCCAUGCAAGUCUAAGUUUAAGUAACUAAACGGCGAAACUGCGAAUGGCUCAUUAAAUCAGUUAUCGUAUAUUUGAUAGUACCUACUACAUGGAUAACCGUGGUAAUUCUAGAGCUAAUACAUGCUUAAAAUCCCGACUUCGGAAGGGAUGUAUUUAUUAGAUUAAAAACCAAUGCCCUUCGGGGCUCACUGGUGAUUCAUAAUAACUUCUCGAAUCGCAUGGCCUUGUGCCGGCGAUGGUUCAUUCAAAUUUCUGCCCUAUCAACUUUCGACGGCUGGGUCUUGGCCAGCCGUGGUUACAACGGGUAACGGAGGGUUAGGGCUUGACCCCGGAGAAGGAGCCUGAGAAACGGCUACUACAUCCAAGGAAGGCAGCAGGCGCGCAAAUUACCCAAUCCCGAUACGGGGAGUAGUGACAAUAAAUACUGAUACAGGGCUCUUUUGGGUCUUGUAAUUGGAAUGAGUACAAUUUAAAUCCCUUAAGGAGGAACAAUAGGAGGNNNNNNNNNNNNNNNNNNNNNGCGGUAAUUCAGCUCGAUAGCGUAUAUUAAAGUUGUUGCAGUUAAAAAGCUCGUACUUGAACCUUGGGCCUGGCUGGCCGGUCUGCCUCACCGCAUGCACUGGUCCGGCCGGGCCUUUCCCUCUGGGGAGCCGCAUGCCCUUCACUGGGUGUGUCGGGGAACCAGGACUUUUACUGUGAAAAAAUUAGAGUGUUCAAAGCAGGCCUAUGCUCGAAUACAUUAGCAUGGAAUAAUAGAAUAGGACGUUGCGGUUCUAUUUUGUUGGUUUCUAGGACCGCCGUAAUGAUUAAUAGGGACAGUCGGGGGCAUCAGUAUUCAAUCGUCAGAGGUGAAAUUCUUGGAUCGAUUGAAGACUAACUACUGCGAAAGCAUUUGCCAAGGAUGUUUUCAUUAAUCAGGAACGAAAGUUAGGGGAUCGAAAACGAUCAGAUACCGUUGUAGUCUUAACCAUAAACUAUGCCGACUAGGGAUCGGGCGAUGUUUUUCUUUGACUCGCUCGGCACCUUACACGAAAGUAAAGUUUUUGGGUUCU